UACGGAGGGGGCGAGCGUUGUCCGAAGUUACUGGGCGUAAAGGGCGCGUAGGCGGGGAGGUAAGUCCGCUGUGAAAGCCCGGUGCUCAACACCGGAGGGUCGGUGGAGACUGCCUCUCUUGAAGCGGCUAGGGGGAGAUGGAAUUACCGGUGUAGCGGUGAAAUGCGCAGAUAUCAGGAGGAACACCGGUGGCGAAGGCGGGUCUCUGGGCCGAUACUGACGCUGAGGAGCGAAAGCGUGGGGAGCGAACAGG
rnacentral:rRNA from 1 species